CCUCAUCAUCGCGUGGAGGCGCGAUCCUCCGCAGUGCCCCGCCCACUCACAGCCAACCUUAAGGGGACCGUCGCGGGUGGGUGGUGUCCAACGCGCAUGUGCGCGGGCGGCGCCUGGCUAGGCGGGAAGGAAGGCUGGCAGUCGAGGGCUGCCGAGCAGCCGUCUCGCGCCUGGGUUCUGGCCGCGGGAGUCGAAGCUCGAGCGCUAGCAGCACCCCGGGGCGUCACCUUGCCCUGAUAGGCCCGUGGCCUGCCACAGGGCUUGGUCGGGCCGGGCCUGAGGAGAGCUGGCCUCGCCCCUCGCAGCCGCGCCGCUCAGCCCGGAAGCUACCGACAGAGAUGGGGGCAGGAGGCACGCCUAGCACAGGAAGCCGGAGUCCAAGGUCAGGAUCGCCUCUAGAAGGAACAGCAGCACCAGAAGGAGAGAGAGGCCGAUCAUCAGUCGGAGAGUCAUCUCGAGAUGGAGGGGCCUUUUUGCAGUGAGAAGCAUGGGUCCAGGCAGUCAGUCCUUAGCACUUCAUAGCGGUGUUGGUAGUUAACAGGAUUUGGCUGUCCUGUAGAAGAAUUAAACACAACACAAGAGAAAAGACAAAGCCACAAGACAAAACACCACAAGGACAUAGAACACAAAACAC